UAGAGUAAUACAUAAGUAACCUGCCCUAGACAGGGGAUAACUAUUGGAAACGAUAGCUAAGACCGCAUAGGUACGGACACUGCAUGGUGACCGUAUUAAAAGUGCCUCAAAGCACUGGUAGAGGAUGGACUUAUGGCGCAUUAGCUGGUUGGCGGGGUAACGGCCCACCAAGGCGACGAUGCGUAGCCGACCUGAGAGGGUGACCGGCCACACUGGGACUGAGACACGGCCCAGACUCCUACGGGAGGCAGCAUG
rnacentral:rRNA from 1 species